GUGUCAGCAGCCGCGGUAAUACGAAGGGGGCGAGCGUUGUUCGGAUUUACUGGGCGUAAAGGGCGCGCAGGCGGCAGAUCAAGUCAGGCGUGAAAGCCCCGGGCUUAACCUGGGAGGUGCGCCUGGGACUGGUUUGCUUGAGAUCGGGAGAGGAGCGUGGAAUUCCCAGUGUAGAGGUGAAAUUCGUAGAUAUUGGGAAGAACACCGGUGGCGAAGGCGGCGCUCUGGACCGAGACUGACGCUGAGGCGCGAAAGCGUGGGGAGCAAACAGGAUUAGAUACCCUGGUAGUCCACGCGGUAAACGAUGUGUGCUAGACGUUGGGGAGCCUAGCUCUUCGGUGUCGCCGCUAACGCAUUAAGCACACCGCCUGGGGAGUACGGCCGCAAGGUUAAA
rnacentral:rRNA from 1 species